GAGUUUUCGGGCUUCGGCUCGACUCUCCCACCCUUUGUGAACGUACCUCUGUUGCUUUGGCGGCUCCGGCCGCCAAAGGACCUCCAAACUCCAGUCAGUAAACGCAGACGUCUGAUAAACAAGUUAAUAAACUAAAACUUUCAACAACGGAUCUCUUGGUUCUGGCAUCGAUGAAGAACGCAGCGAAAUGCGAUAAGUAAUGUGAAUUGCAGAAUUCAGUGAAUCAUCGAAUCUUUGAACGCACAUUGCGCCCCUUGGUAUUCCGGGGGGCAUGCCUGUUCGAGCGUCAUUACAACCCUCAAGCUCUGCUUGGAAUUGGGCACCGUCCUCACUGCGGACGCGCCUCAAAGACCUCGGCGGUGGCUGUUCAGCCCUCAAGCGUAGUAGAAUACACCUCGCUUUGGAGUGGUUGGCGUCGCCCGCCGGACGAACCUUCUGAACUUUUCUCAAGGUUGACCUCGGAUCAGGUAGGGAUACCCGCUGAACUUAAGCAUAUCAAUAAGCGGAGGA
rnacentral:rRNA from 1 species